rnacentral:tRNA from 1 species
UCGGGAAUCGGCUAAUGGCAGGCUGCUUGGCUUUGAACCAGGUGGUGGAGGUUCGAGUCCUCCUUCCCGAA